AAUGGACGCUGGCGGCAGGCCUAAACAUGCAAGUCGAGCGCCCUAGCAAUAGGGAGCGGCGCACGGGUGAGUAACACGUGGGAAUAUGCCUUUUGGUACGGAACAACCUCGGGAAACUGAGGCUAAUACCGUAUGGUCCCGUUCGGGGUAAAGAUUUAUCGCCAAAAGAGUAGCCCGCGUUGGAUUAGCUAGUUGGUAAGGUAACGGCUUACCAAGGCGACGAUCCAUAGCUGGUCUGAGAGGACGAUCAGCCACACUGGGACUGAGACACGGCCCAGACUCCUACGGGAGGCAGCAGUUAGGAAUAUUGGACAAUGGGCGGCAAGCCUGAUCCAGCCAUGCCGCGUGAGUGAUGAA
rnacentral:rRNA from 1 species